rnacentral:rRNA from 1 species
GACGAACGCUGGCGGCGUGCCUAAUACAUGCAAGUCGACCUUAGUGGCGAAUGGGUGAGUAACACGUGGGUAAUCUGCACAUCAGAAGGGGAUAACCGUUGGAAACAGGUGCUAAACCUGUAGACUGAUGGCUGGACCCGCGGUGCAUUAGCUUGUUGGUGAGGUAACGGCGAACCAAGGCUACGAUGCAUAGCCGACCUGAGAGGGUGACCGGCCACAUUGGGACUGAGACACGGCCCAAACUCCUACGGGAGGCAGCAGUAGGGAAUCUUCGGCAAUGGGCGAAAGUCUGACCGAGCAACGCCGCGUGAGUGAAGAAGGUUUUCGGAUCGUAAAACUCUGUUGUUAGAGAAGCGGUAUCUAACCAGAAAGCCACGGCUAACUACGUGCCAGCAGCCGCGGUAAUUC